rnacentral:rRNA from 1 species
CUGGCUCAGAACGAACGCUGGCGGCAGGCUUAACACAUGCAAGUCGAACGAACUCUUCGGAGUUAGUGGCAGACGGGUGAGUAACGCGUGGGAACCUACCUUUAGGUACGGAACAACAGUUGGAAACGACUGCUAAUACCGUAUGUGCCCUAUGGGGGAAAGAUUUAUCGCCUAAGGAUGGGCCCGCGUUGGAUUAGCUAGUUGGUGGGGUAAAGGCCUACCAAGGCGACGAUCCAUAGCUGGUCUGAGAGGAUGAUCAGCCACACUGGGACUGAGACACGGCCCAGACUCCUACGGGAGGCAGCAGUGGGGAAUAUUGGACAAUGGGCGCAAGCCUGAUCCAGCCAUGCCGCGUGAGUGAUGAAGGCCCUAGGGUUGUAAAGCUCUUUCAGCGAGGAGGAUAAUGACGUUACUCGCAGAAGAAGCCCCGGCUAACUUCGUGCCAGCAGCCGCGGUAAUACGAAGGGGGCUAGCGUUGUUCGGAAUCACUGGGCGUAAAGCGCACGUAGGCGGACUUUUAAGUCAGGGGUGAAAUCCCGGGGCUCAACCCCGGAACUGCCUUUGAUACUGGAAGUCUUGAGUCCGAGAGAGGUGAGUGGAACUCCGAGUGUAGAGGUGAAUUCAUAGAUAUUCGGAAGAACACCAGUGGCGAAGGCGGUCUCACUGGCUCGGUACUGACGU